GCCGCGUGUGUGAAGAAGGCCUUCGGGUUGUAAAGCACUUUCAGUUGUGAGGAAAAGUUAGUAGUUAAUACCUGCUAGCCGUGACGUUAACAACAGAAGAAGCACCGGCUAACUCCGUGCCAGCAGCCGCGGUAAUACGGAGGGUGCGAGCGUUAAUCGGAAUUACUGGGCGUAAAGCGCACGCAGGCGGUUUGUUAAGCUAGAUGUGAAAGCCCCGGGCUCAACCUGGGAUGGUCAUUUAGAACUGGCAGACUAGAGUCUUGGAGAGGGGAGUGGAAUUCCAGGUGUAGCGGUGAAAUGCGUAGAUAUCUGGAGGAACAUCAGUGGCGAAGGCGACUCCCUGGCCAAAGACUGACGCUCAUGUGCGAAAGUGUGGGUAGCGAACAGGAUUAGAUACCCUGGUAGUCCACACCGUAAACGCUGUCUACUAGCUGUGUGUGCCUUUAAGGCGUGCGUAGCGAAGCUAACGCGCUAAGUAGACCGCCUGGGGAGUACGGCCGCAAGGUUAAAACUCAAAUGAAUUGACGGGGGCCCGCACAAGCGGUGGAGCAUGUGGUUUAAUUCGAUGCAACGCGAAGAACCUUACCUACACUUGACAUGCUGAGAAGUUACUAGAGAUAGUUUCGUGCCUUCGGGAACUCAGACACAGGUGCUGCAUGGCUGUCGUCAGCUCGUGUCGUGAGAUGUUGGGUUAAGUCCCGCAACGAGCGCAACCCUUGUCCUUAGUUGCCAGCCUUAAGUUGGGCACUCUA
rnacentral:rRNA from 1 species